rnacentral:tRNA from 1 species
CCCUGGGUAGCUCCGUGGGUAGAGCGCUCCACUGGAAAUGGAGAGGUUCCGGGUUCGAUACCCGGACCAGGCG